ACCCGCCAGCCCCGCGCUCUACCAGGCAGAGCGCGUGUGGCCGCCGAGCACAUGGACCCACUGGUCAAGCGGGCUCGGCAAGGCCAGGAUGAAGAGAAGCUACGAACUUAGCAUUCCCAGAGCCCCCCGAGUGGAUAUCCGCGUGGAAAGGAUGUUGGCAGCCCCGGUGACCUCGGAGUCACGGCUGGAUCCACCCUCUUGUCUGAUUUUCUUAACUCUACUACGGUAAGAAGAUGCCCUCCAUCAGCAGGCCGUGUCUGCUGGGACCUCUCUGGAGACUUCCUGAACCCUGUGGAUUUACAGUAAGAUGCAGUUUCCUGGGGAGUAAUUCUGGUGGAUACAAAUUCCGGAGUAUUACACCUGGCUUGCCUGGAGAUGUUACAAGUAGCUGGAUGGAUUCUUCAGCCUGGAUGCCCACUGAAAACAAGGACCGAAACUAAGAGGAUUGUAUCUCUACCCUUGACUCAAUGAGAAUGUUUGUUGUCAUCUCUCGGGCUACCUGGAGCUCCCUCUAAAAUGGGCUGGGACACUGCCUGAUUGAGGUGGCCAUUGAGAAUUCAAGUGUACCUCUUGGUCCCUGAUGCAGAAAUGAAGUCCCCAGCAUGCUCAAGAAGAGCUUCCUUGGAGGAUGAGAGGCAUGGGAAUCUAAGUAUACCCUUUAAGCGUUCCAGAAGGAUUUUGAGAUCCUUUCCUAAAUCAAAGGUGGAAUAUUUGGGGAUUUGGAAAAUUGAGCCAGUCUCUCAGAAGAACCAGUUGUGUUACUUUGCUGUGAGAUGCCUGCCCUAAGAGAGGAGCAGAAGGUCGGAACGGGUCCUCUAAUGUGAUAAUUAGAUGUGAAGCGUUGACUUAAGAGAUGCCAAGUAACUCAGCAGAUGUCACACAGACGAUAAAUAGCAAAGAUGGAAGUCUUCAUGCCGGAGGCAAUCCUAUAAGACAGCUGAGUUCUGCAGAGCUGGUAGGAGACAGACUUGCUCAGGUGAUAGAUCCAGCCAUGAUACUGACCCUAAGAGAAUGAGACGCUCUGCAGAAGACAGAAGAUUCCUGAAACUGGGAAAGGUGCCUAGAAAUCCUGAUAAGAGUGAAGAAGGAGCUGGCAGAGCAGCCUUCCUCCGCACUAUGAAAGACAUCCAACAGAGAGCAAGUUCCCACCUCACUUCCAGCUUGACUCCUUUUUAUCUCCUAACUGUGGUCUGUGAUGUCUUCAGCAAUGGUAUUAACUAGUUCUGGGUACCUGGAGGCACAGCAGCCAUGUUGAACCUAUGAGGUGAUGAAAAACCAUGCAACUAGAAACCAGAAUGGAAGAAAAGAAGAAGCUGGAUCCUUGACUGAAUUGUCGAUGGGGGAUAGUCCAUCAUCCCAGGGCUAAGACCACCUCCAGAUUUCUUGUUUGGUGAAACAAGUCCUGAUUGUUUACAUUCCCUCGUGUUGAGCUGUCUCUUGCUUGUAGCUGAAAGCAUUUCUAAUAGAUAUUCAGAUUAUCAGCCUUAGCUCCAAGCUAGAAUACUCUAUGGGACCUUAGCUUCUCCAUGAAUUCCUUUGCUCAUCUGUGUAAUGCUCAAUAAAUGUAAAUUGAACCCUGAAUGAGGGACAAUGACA
rnacentral:lncRNA from 1 species